rnacentral:rRNA from 1 species
UACGAAGGGGGCUAGCGUUGCUCGGAAUUACUGGGCGUAAAGGGCGCGUAGGCGGAUAUUUAAGUUGGGGGUGAAAUCCCGGGGCUCAACCUCGGAAUUGCCUUCAAAACUGGAUAUCUUGAGUUCGGGAGAGGUGAGUGGAACUCCGAGUGUAGAGGUGAAAUUCGUAGAUAUUCGGAGGAACACCAGUGGCGAAGGCGGCUCACUGGUCCGGUACUGACGCUGAGGUGCGAAAGCGUGGGGAGCAAACAGG